rnacentral:rRNA from 1 species
GUAGGGAAUCUUCCACAAUGGACGAAAGUCUGAUGGAGCAACGCCGCGUGAGUGAAGAAGGUUCUCGGAUCGUAAAACUCUGUUGUGAGGGAAGAACAAGUACCGGAGUAACUGCCGGUACCUUGACGGUACCUCAUUAGAAAGCCACGGCUAACUACGUGCCAGCAGCCGCGGUAAUACGUAGGUGGCAAGCGUUGUCCGGAAUCAUUGGGCGUAAAGCGCGCGCAGGCGGUCCCUUAAGUCUGAUGUGAAAGCCCACGGCUCAACCGUGGAGGGUCAUUGGAAACUGGGGGACUUGAGUGCAGAAGAGGAAAGCGGAAUUCCAAGUGUAGCGGUGAAAUGCGUAGAGAUUUGGAGGAACACUAGUGGCGAAGGCGGCUUUCUGGUCUGUAACUGACGCUGAGGCGCGAAAGCGUGGGGAGCAAACAGGAUUAGAAACCCGUGUAGUCC